CCACUGGGCUCCUUGCUAAGAAAUCCAUGGCGAAUUUGAAGACAGAGAGAGCACUUCAGCAGCGCAGAGAGACAUUUGAUUCUGGAAGCUGCUAAGCUAAACCAACAUGUAUAUUUUAAAGACAGAAUGGCCCUUCGGUGCUCCUGCUUCACAGAAGAAACUGUCAGACAUUCUACUGGACACAGAAGAAAGCAAUUGAUGAAGUUUACCAGUCGAAGGCAAAACAGAUCUUCAAAUUUCCUGCUUCACUGAAAAGUCUAUCAGAAUAUUACUGGAAACGGUCCUUGAUGAGUCAGAGGGUGCUGUGAGGAUUGGCACGGAGCGUGCACUGCUGAAAAAUGACAAUGUUGGGGACGCCCACAACACCCAGGAAUGAGGCUGCAAUUAAGGAAACUUUUAAAGUAGUGCAGCGAACUU